AUUUUUUUUCUAAGAGAAACUUAGAAGCCCAUAUUUCCUGAACCUGACUAUGGCCUUCAGUGACCACACCGGCAGCCUCUGCAAAAUUAUUACCCCAGAUUUGUAAGGAGAACCUUCAAAGGGAGCUUGCUCCAGCCGACACCUGGGUUUCAAACUUCUCACAUCCACAACUACCAGAAGAUUAGUUUCUGUUGUUUUAAGCCAUCACAUUUGUGAUUCUUUGUCACAGCAGCCAUGGGACACUAAUACACUGAGGGACUGCUGGCUGCUGACAGCUCAGACCCAAGCCCUCUCUGGGUAUUGCCUUCUGCCAAAGGAUGCGGUCUCUCCUCUGGGGACAGCCUGCAUCCAAAGACUGGUCACUGUGGGAUACACAGUGCCACCCCUAGCCUCGUUGGGACAGCUCUGUAGGACCACCCAGGUCUUGAGGUCCUGGUGGAACCAGUGGAGGCCUCCGCCGCAAUGGCAUCACAGCUCAGCCUAUCCCUUUGCCCAACCCAGCUCCCUCCCUGCUCAACAGGAGCUGUUCUCAAAGCAUUUACCAGUAAUCCUGCGUGUAAACCUCAGAGCCUCAAGGCCUAUUUCUUGCAGGCUCUGAACUGCAUCAGUGUGCCUCCCUGGAGCCUCUCUAAUCCCCUCGGCAGCUAGACUGGACUCAAGUGAGGAUUGAAGCUGUGUUCUGAUGGGCACCAGAAGGAUCUUCUUCUACUUCUGGGUCCACAAGACCUUGGCAGGGCUGAUUCAGGGACUGGGACCACCCGUGCAGUGUACAGGCCAGAGCUCCUUCUGACUGACCAAUGUCAAUGGUGUCAUGUUUUGACAUCACCCCUGUUUCUUAACACUUGAGCAUUGUUCUUCAUAAUGACCUGAAGUCUUUUGGGGGCAGCUUCGUUCCUAUCACAAGAUUACAGAGCUGAGGAGUCUGCGUAUCUCUGGUAUCUGAGACAAAGUGCCAAGCCCUGCAACAUCUAAAAGUCCCUCAGGUGCUCCAAGAGCCAGCCCUGAAUCCUCAAGGUCUACAGCGCCAUGCUAGCUCUGCCCCUCUCCCAUUUCGCAGCCCCGUCUCAACUUCUAACUGGCUGUCAGAGCCUGGACAUGUCACCUCUCCUCACUGAGUCUUAUUGCCUCACUUAUAAAAUAGUGCUAAUGAAGAGAACUCUACUGCUAAGCACUUUUCAGAAUCAUUUAGUUCACGCCUACUGAGUGCAGAAGCACAACAUGACAACCAGCUUCUGCUUGACCCCUCCCUGGGACCCCACCAUUUCACAUGGCCUCCUGGUGUAUUUCUGGAUGCUCUAGUUCUUAGAAAGUUCUUCCUUAUAACAAACUGGAAUUAGCCUCCCUGUACGUUCCACCACUGACCUGGUUCGGCCUUAGGGGCUAUAGAAAAUGCAUAUAAGCUUUGCUCUGUGAGAAAAACCUUCAGAUAUCACACCCUUCCGUCACCAGGUUUCUCUUAUCAGGCAAACCUUUCCUCGUCUCCUUUCCAUAUAAAUUCCAGAUACCCCAUCAUCCUGGUUGUUCUCCUCCAGGAAACUUCAGCUUCCUCUUCAUACAUAGGGUCUAGAAUGGAACCAGACAUUCAAGAUGCUGUCUGAAUAAUUCCAUUCAUGUAUUCUAAAUAAUAUUCAACUUAUGGCACUUGAUUUCCAUCUAUCUUUUCAGGAAGAUUUCUGCUGUAUUAGAUAUAUCAUGCCACCCCAAACUUAGUGUUUUUCUGAGACUCACAGGGUUUGACUUGGUUAGAAUACAUCUGGCUGCAGUGACAGAAUGCCCAAUGGCUCAAGAAAUAGUGACGUUUCAUUUUUUCACAAAAUGAGAUGUCUAAAAUCAGAAACUGCUGAUUCACAUGUGAUAAGGGGCUCAACAAUGUUCAUCCAGAUGCUGCUCUGGUCUGUGUGCUGGUGAGACAGCUGUUGUACUUUUAAGUGGCAUUUUCUUGCAUAAUUAUAUUAAAGGCAACAAAAAGAGGCAGGCCUCCUUAUCCUCCCUCUCUUUGCCAGGGAGCAAAAUCCUUCUCAGAAAUUAUCCCCAGCUGACUUCCCCACAUGUCUUGUUGGCCAUAACUAGUCAGAGUUAUGACACUAAGCCAGUCAUUGGGAAAGGGAAUUAGGAUUACGUACCUGGUUAGACCAACCAGGGUGUCUCCUCCUCCCACCACCUACCGUGAGGUGUGGGCCUUUCUUCCUUGAACAUGCUGUGUAAAGAAGAAGGGUGCAUGGCUGUGGGUAGACACUCGGUGGUGUCCACCACAGCACCUUAGGGUACAAAGUCACUUUAAAGUUAAUGUCACCUAACACCUUUCCAACGAUCAAUGUUUCAGAGCUCUACUUAAGUAAAUGGGGACACUAUUUUCCAAGAAAUUAUUAGAAAGUUUAUUCUUUAAAUUAUUCUUUGUAAG